AAAGCUUUACAUUGCAAUCUACAAAAUUAGAGUUUUCCAAAUAAGAGAAACUAGCCUUUAGGAGCCAUUCCUCCCCUCCUUUCACCCCUAUUGUUCUUCUUCUCUCCCCAUCAACCCCUUGUAAUUGUAAAGCCUUUUGUGACAAUGAAAGAUUAAAAUUCUCAUUGUUGAGAGCCUAGCAACCAAACGCUUGGGAUGUAAUUUCUUUUCUACUAUCUAUUUAAUACUAUUUUAAUUUUUAUUGCCUCUUUUCUGUACUUAAUUUUACUGAUUGUGAUCUAAUCACUCAUAUUCAUGUAUUUGUUUUAGGAUUUAGGCAUUGGAAAAUGACAUCUAAAUUAUUCAUGUCUAGGGAUAGAAUGAUAUUGUUUAGCAUGUUCUAUGCAUCUCUAUUUCUAAUGCAAUUUAUUUAGUUUAUUCUUCUAAGGAUUAGGAAAAAGAUUAGAUAAAUUAGGCUCUUUUACUUGAUGAAUCAUGGUUAGAGUAUACGAGUAGAUGUAGAUAAAAAUUGGAAUAAUGUUAAAUAGAGAAAAAUCAUUAACAUUACAUUGAGAGUAAUUUUGGUAGGCUAAGCCCCAAUAUAUUUUCAUUCUGAAUCAAUCUUUGCAUCACAACCCCCAAAGUGUUUUGUUUUUCUUGCUUCUUGCCUGUUUUAGAUAUUAGUUUAAUUUUUAUGUCAAUUUACUUCUAAUUUUCCAUCUCUCCAAUCUUUAAUUCAAUUUAUUAAUUGCUUAAAAAUUGAAAAUACAUUAAUCUAAGUACAAACAAAGUUUUUGUAAACUCGACACUACUUGUGACAAUUUGGUGUACUUACCAAUGAGUUAACACAAUCACUAUUAAAUUUUUUAAAAAUGUUUUUAGUCCUUAGAACUUGGUAGAGCAGCUAGAGGCCUGCAUUUCUAGGAAUGAUGUGUAGUAACCUAGUAAAUGUUGCAUCUUUUGCGUAAUGCAGUUCGCUUAGAAUGAGUUUGUUGAGGAAUCAAGAAUGAAACUAUGAGGGUUAGGCUCUUUCAUGUAAAAAAUUACGGUUAGAGUAAUUUAACUAUGCAAAGAACAUUAGGGCAAUAUUAAAUAGAGAAAAAAUUAUUUAGUUACAUCAAGAGAAAGUUCACUAGAAUGCUCCCCAACAUUUUCAUCAUGGUAUUUGUUCUAUUAUACAAUUCCGCAUUUGUCUUGUCAUGUAUUUUUAAGUUUAGAAAUUUUAAUUCAGGAAUUUGAAAUAUGAAUGCGUUAUUACAUUGAUUAAAAUUGUUUACAAAUUGAAUAUGCGUCAUCUAAGUAUAACAAAUUUUCUAUGGAUACGAUACUCGGUCUUAUUACUUUAAUUACUACUUGAGCAAAUUGAUACACUUACCAAUCGAGCUAAUAGAUACUAAAUUGCAAAUGGAGUCCCCCUGGGAAUGAAAGAAAGCACCAACCCCAAUGUUGGAGACCCUUUGCAUGGAUUCUUUUUUUUAUUCUUUUCUUUCUUUUAGAGACCUGGUUUUGCAUCAUGAUUAAAUGAAACCUGCACAGAUAAAAAAAAAAAGGGAAAGAUUAAUUGAACAGGGAAAGUUGAUAUUAUUUCAUGUCCCCAGUGUUUGAAGAAAUAUACAUUACUAAGUCUAAAAGUGAUGAGAAUGUUGGUGGGAGCGUUGAUGGAGUUUAUUAAUUUGCAUACCCGUGACGUAACAAUAAAGAAAAUUAAACUUGUGUUGCAUACUGAUACUAACCUUGAUCUUACAUCAUAUUGCAUGUGAUAUUCCUAUCUACAUUUGUUUUCUUUAGUUUCAAUGAGCCAUGUUGGAGAUAUGAUCCGAUACUAAAUAUGAACACUUAGUUUUGUGAAGAUUCGAAUCUUGGUUCGUCACCUUAUAUGAGAUAAGUUUCUUCUGCUAGACAUAACUCCCCUAGGUCCCAUUACACCUUUCUUGACUUUAGGAAAGUUCUUCUUCCUGAAACAUUGGGCCAUUGGUUUCAUUGUAAACAUGGAAUAGCUUCCAGCUUUGUUGAUUUUCCAACAAAUGGGGCGUCCCAUUAAUAUCUAGUUUUCAAUUUUCAGGUGGUAUUGAAGGAAGGGAAGAGCAAGGAAAGUGACAAAAUGACAACCAAUGAUUUGAAAGUUCAGAUUUCAUCUAGAAAUGAUGUGAUGUCAGGAGAUGGAAUGAAGGCACAAGUGAGGCUUUCUAGCAGCCAAGUAUGGCUAAAACCAAUUGCCUCUGCUCUCCAAUGAUCAAAAGCAUGGAGUCACCAAAGGUCCAAAACCCCCUCAUCAGGCCUCUCUGGUUCAUGCUUCCAUGGUUAAUUACUUAAUGCUAGUGGUGAUGCCAACAAGGAUUCGAUAAUUUAGAUGCAUUGAUAUUCUAAUGUAUUGAAUGUUAAUAAUUUAGGGCCUGUGUAGAUG
rnacentral:lncRNA from 1 species